GACGAACGCUGGCGGCGUGCUUAACACAUGCAAGUCGAACGGAAAGGCCCUGCUUUUGUUGGUUGCUCGUGUGGCGAACGGGUGAGUAACACGUGAGUAACCUGCCCUUGACUUUGGGAUAUCUUCAGGAAACUGGGGCUAAUACCGGAUAGGAGCUCCUGCUGCAUGGUGGGGGUUGGUAAGUUUCGGCUGUUGGGGAUGGUCUCGCGGCUUAUCCGCUUGUUUGUGUGGUAGUGACUUACAAAGGCUUUGAAGGGUAGCCCGCCUGAGAGGGUGACCGGCCACAAGGCGACUGAGAGACGGCGCAGACGCGUACGGGAGGCAGCAGUGGGGAAUAUGACGCAGUGGGCGGGAGCCUGAUGCAAAAACGCCGCGUGCGGGAAGACGGCCUUCGGGUUGUAAACCGAUUUCGCCUGUGACGAAGCGAGAGUGACGGUAAUGAGUGAAGAAGCACCGGCUAACUACGUG
rnacentral:rRNA from 1 species